rnacentral:rRNA from 1 species
UACGUAGGGGGGCUAGCGUUGUCCGGAAUCAUUGGGCGUAAAGCGCGUGUAGGCGGCCCGGUAAGUCCGCUGUGAAAGUCGGGGGCUCAACCCUCGAAUGCCGGUGGAUACUGUCGGGCUAGAGUGCGGAAGAGGCGAGUGGAAUUCCUGGUGUAGCGGUGAAAUGCGCAGAUAUCAGGAGGAACACCAAUUGCGAAGGCAGCUCGCUGGGACGUAACUGACGCUGGAGACGCGAAAGCGUGGGGAGCAAACAGG